CACAAUGCAGUUUUAGGUUAUAAUGACAUAGCAAAGUCGAGCUUUGACAAUGUAUUAAGGAUGCUUUACAAUACAUGGAGUAAUCAUGGAGUAAGGUGUAAGAGUAGGAGUGACGACUUUGCUGUAAAAUGCUUACAACAGUCUUGUCUAGAACGGUAAAGUAAGCAUAGAAAUACGGUCAAUUAGUAAUGUUAAGGAUAGGAAACAAACUGUUGUGAUUAGCUGAGCGUAACAGCAUAAGAGUAAAAGUUAGAUUAGGACAUAAGAGUAGGAAAUAAAAUUAAUUUAUUUUGCCUACGCCAUUACGCCAGCUCUCUUACAAUGGAAUGAUGACAUUCUUAUGCCUGCUUAAAUCUACUCUUCUUAUUCCACACUUUUUUCAUGUAUUGUAAACAACACUUACGUAGUGAUUCAUUAUAGAUAGUACAAUUUAUGUUCUUCUGUGGAUAAAGGAGAAAGUGCAAAAAUUGUUAUUUUCUUAAUAGGAAUCUGUGAAAUGUUUUGUUACCUUAUUUGAGAUUAAAAUAAGAACGAAAUAAUAUUUAUUUAUCUUGCAGGAAAUAAUUUAGAAACUGCAGGAAAUAUUAGAAUUGAUAAUCAAUGUUUUUAAAAUGUCUGUCAACAUAGCUCUUCGAAAUGGUUUGAUAAAAGAUAAAAAGUUUUCAAAUAAACUACAUUUCAAUUUAAUAAAUUCUAUACCAUAAAAUUGUAAAGAAAUGCUGUAUGUUUAAUAUAAUCACAUGUACAAUUGUUUGUAAGUACAUACCAUAUAUUUAAUAUUCAUAUAUAUUUUUUUUACAAAUAAUAUCCAUUUUAAAUAUUGAUUCUUACUACCCAUACACACACACACACACACGCGCGCGCGCGCGCACGAGUGCAUAUACACAAAUGUAUUUGUGUAAAGUAAAUGUUGCAUAUGUAAUAUAAUAAUGUUCAUAAAUGCAAAUAGUUUUAUUGAAUAACAAUCUAACAUCUGCGAUGUAUAAACUUCCUAGUGUCAAGUGCAAACUUUUAAGUUGUGUAUUACACAAACUUUCAUUAAAGUAUCCAAAGACACUGUAAAAUUAAUUCACAGUUAGUAAGGUAGCAAAAUAUGUUUCACAGGUUUCCUAUUAAGGGAUAACGCCGCCUCUAAAACGAUACUCAAGUUCAGGAAUUUUGUGGGCAAAUGAAGUUUUAUUGAAAAAGCAAAUAUAAACCAUUUUAUUAUAUUAAAUUAUUUAAAAAAAAUUUUAUUGUUUAAAAUAGUGGCGCGUACUGCAUACUUCUGCAUUUUUUUUGAAGAUAUUAUUUUGCAUGCAAGAUUUCUCUAAGAUGGUUUACCUUAGAACAAAAAUUCACAACCUCUUAUUUUCUAUUGAAGUUACAAAAUACGUAGCCGUUUUAAAAAUAUCAAUUUUUUAAAAUAAUAGCUAAUUAGUUCUGCAGGAUCAAAAACACCUACAGCAUCUCCUUAUGCAUACUUAACACAAAUGCGAUGUUUUAAUGAUGACUCUUUAUUUUUUGUUAAUGACUCUACUUUCGAAUUUUUUAUUGAGAUUGAAAAAGUUUUUAGAUUAUAUUAUAAACAAGUUUACAUGUUAUCUUUAAAUUUAAAGGAAUUCUUUAUUAAAAAAUGUAUUAAUAUAUCUUUUCAGUUUCCGUUUUGUCAUAUUUCCUACAAGAUAAAUAAAAAAAAAUUAUAGAAAAAUUUAUUAUUUUCAGGUUGAAAAAAA
rnacentral:lncRNA from 1 species